AAAUUUUAUUUUGGCCAGGAGCUGAAGUUGGUUGUUUAGUAGUAGUAGUUUGAGUAGUGACCGAAGUAGUAGUCUGGUGUGUGGGUGCAAGAGUAGUUGGGGAAGAAUUAGGUGUGGGUGGGGCAGCUGUGGUCUCUGGUGGAGCUGAGGCGGAUGAUGGGUCUAGGGUAGUUGCAGAAGGUGUGGGUGGGGCAGCUGUGGUCUCUGGUGGAGCUGAGGAAGAUGGUGGAGCUGGUGUAGUUGCAGAAGGUGUGGGUGGGGCAGCUGUGGUGUCUUGUGGAGCUGGGGAAUUCACUGGUGCUAAUGUAGCUACAGAAGAGCUUGUGUUAACAUUUUCUCUUGAAGAUAUGGUGGUGGCAUUCUGGGGAAGAAAAGUCACAUUUGGAAGGGUAGUAAUUUUGGUGGAAGCUUAGGCCUACAGCGUUUGUGCAGACAUUUAUAGGACUUUCUAAUGAACGGCUUCUGGUGAGCUAGCA
rnacentral:lncRNA from 1 species